GACGAGUCCGGCAAACGUUAUUCGGAAUUACUGGGCUUAAAGCGUGCGUAGGCGGUCUGAAGGGUUGGGAGUGAAAUCCCACGGCCUAACCGUGGAAUUGCUCUCAAAACCGUCAGGCUAGAGGAGGUUAGAGGCGAGCGGAACUACGGGUGGAGCGGUGAAAUGCGUUGAUAUCCGUAGGAACACCGGUGGCGAAGGCGGCUCGCUGGGGCCUUUCUGACGCUGAGGCACGAAAGCUAGGGUAGCGAACGGG
rnacentral:rRNA from 1 species